rnacentral:lncRNA from 1 species
UAGCCUCAUCCCUUUGGUUUCCCUGGCAACUGAAGCAAUCAGUUCAAUGACAGUUUCAAUGCCAGGGAAAAGCAUCAGCUUCUACAGUUGUGGACAGAAGUACAAAAAACAGGGUCUGAUAAAGAAUCUGUCUGCUGAGUUGGGACAUCUGUACACAGCUGAAGAAAGUGUGAACAACCCCAAAGGACCAAACAUGACAGAACUGGCAUGAAGAAAAUAGAAAGAUGCUGCUUAAAAGAAAUGUUGUGAGUUCAGCAUGUAAAGAUACAGAGCAAGAAAGCAGGGACAGCCAGAAGGAGAAAUGUUGUAUGGCAGUAAAAUUUCAUCUAACUGGAAUCUAAUCUAACUGGAAAAUUUUAAAACCAAACCAGAAAAGGCAUUGUCUCUGAGAAGACUGUAGCUAUCUGGUGGAGAAAGAAGGCCAUAAGUUACAGUGCAGUUCGUGGAUGAAGAAAGAAUGCCAUAGCAAAUUAAUUGAUCAUGAACAUGAACUGAAGCAUAGUGUGAAUGAGCUGGUAGGAUGUGCAUUUAGCUUGCAUUCAGGCUGCUAACCAUCUGGGUGUACUAGUACUCCCUUCACUGAAGGGAGGUGGGGCAAUGUCAAGCAAUCCCACAUUUAACAUUUAACUCUGUUUGAUCCUUUAUUAACGUCAAUGUUUACACAGUGUUAUAAAACAUCCUGAGUUGCCUGCAACUAAUCUCCCUAUGCUAUGCUCCCUUUUCUAAAGUCCUAAAGCAUAACUGUCUUAAUAUCACUGUUUUUUGACACAUUCUUUAAAGAAAAGAAAGCAUGAAUCCCAUAAACAAAUCAAAAAUGCAGUAGGCCUUUGGAUUUGUUGUGGUGAUUUAAUGUCUGAAUGAACAAGAAAAAAACAUUUAUUUCUAAAUUGAUGAGAUCAAACAAUAAAGAUUUGAUGGAGCUAACA